rnacentral:tRNA from 1 species
GCCUGUUCCCCGACGUGGGCGGCGGCUGGUUCCUGGCCCAGUGCCCGGGCCAUGUGGGUGAAUGGCUCGCGCUGACCGGCCAGGCC